rnacentral:rRNA from 1 species
GACGAACGCUGGCGGCGUGCUUAACACAUGCAAGUCGAACGGAAAGGCCCUGCUUUUGUGGGGUGCUCGAGUGGCGAACGGGUGAGUAACACGUGAGUAACCUGCCCUUGACUUUGGGAUAACUUCAGGAAACUGGGGCUAAUACCGGAUAGGAGCUCCUGCUGCAUGGUGGGGGUUGGAAAGUUUCGGCGGUUGGGGAUGGACUCGCGGCUUAUCAGCUUGUUGGUGGGGUAGUGGCUUACCAAGGCUUUGACGGGUAGCCGGCCUGAGAGGGUGACCGGCCACAUUGGGACUGAGAUACGGCCCAGACUCCUACGGGAGGCAGCAGUGGGGAAUAUUGCACAAUGGGCGGAAGCCUGAUGCAGCAACGCCGCGUGCGGGAUGGCGGCCUUCGGGUUGUAAACCGCUUUCGCCUGUGACGAAGCGUGAGUGACGGUAAUGGGUAAAGAAGCACCGGCUAACUACGUGCCAGCAGCCGCGGUGAUACGUAGGGUGCGAGCGUUGUCCGGAUUUAUUGGGCGUAAAGGGCUCGUAGGUGGUUGAUCGCGUCGGAAGUGUAAUUUUGGGGCUUAACCCUGAGCGUGCUUUCGAUACGGGUUGACUUGAGGAAGGUAGGGGAGAAUGGAAUUCCUGGUGGAGCGGUGGAAUGCGCAGAUAUCAGGAGGAACACCAGUGGCGAAGGCGGUUCUCUGGGCCUUUCCUGACGCUGAGGAGCGAAAGCGUGGGGAGCGAACAGGCUUAGAUACCCUGGUAGUCCACGCUGUAAACGGUGGGUACUAGGUGUGGGGUCCAUUCCACGGGUUCCGUGCCGUAGCUAACGCUUUAAGUACCCCGCCUGGGGAGUACGGCCGCAAGGCUAAAACUCAAAGGAAUUGACGGGGCCCCGCACAAGCGGCGGAGCAUGCGGAUUAAUUCGAUGCAACGCGUAGAACCUUACCUGGGUUUGACAUGGAUCGGGAGCGCUCAGAGAUGGGUGUGCCUCUUUUGGGGUCGGUUCACAGGUGGUGCAUGGCUGUCGUCAGCUCGUGUCGUGAGAUGUUGGGUUAAGUCCCGCAACGAGCGCAACCCUUGUUCACUGUUGCCAGCACGUUAUGGUGGGGACUCAGUGGAGACCGCCGGGGUCAACUCGGAGGAAGGUGGGGAUGACGUCAAGUCAUCAUGCCCCUUAUGUCCAGGGCUUCACGCAUGCUACAAUGGCUGGUACAGAGAGUGGCGAGCCUGUGAGGGUGAGCGAAUCUCGGAAAGCCGGUCUCAGUUCGGAUUGGGGUCUGCAACUCGACCUCAUGAAGUCGGAGUCGCUAGUAAUCGCAGAUCCGCAACGCUGCGGUGAAUACGUUCCCGGGGCU